rnacentral:rRNA from 1 species
AUUAAAUAGCUGCAGUAUAAGUGACUGUACAAAGGUAGCAUAAUAAUUAGCUUUUUAAUUGAAGGCUGGAAUGAAUGAUUAAAUGAAAUAUUAACUGUUUCUUAGUAAAAUAAUGAAUUUUAUAUUUAAGUAAAAAAGCUUAAAUUAAUUUAAAAGACGAGAAGACCCUAUAGAAUUUUAUAUUUAGUUGGGGAAAUUUAAAAAUUUAAUAAACUUUUUAAUAAAAUUUACAUUGAUUGAUGAAUUUAAUAUAUUUAAUAAAAAAUGCAAAUUAAAUUACCUUAGGGAUAACAGCAUAA